rnacentral:rRNA from 1 species
AAAUUAGAGAACAUGAUGUUGGUUCAGAUCUAAUGCUAUAUAGAGACAUAACACAUGCGAGUUAAUUAAAUAAAAAUAAAAUUAGCGAUAAGGUGAGUGAUAUAAAUAUAAAUAAAAAUAUUUAUUCAGAUGUAGGUAUUAAAUAGAAAAUAUUUAGCCAUCAAACUGGAACUGAUGAUUAACGUCUUAACGGUCACAUUGAUAAAAAUCAACUUUUAUAAAAAGCAGCAGUGGGGAAUAUUUGACAAUGGUCUAACGACUGAUCAAGUUAUCUAUAAGAAGGAAAUUAAUAAAAAACUAAACAAUAAAAAGUAAAGUAAAUUAAAUAAUAAAAGAAAAACUAUAAACUUCUAAAUAAUAGUAAUAAUGAUACUAAUUAUGAGAAAGUCCUAACUAAAACAUGUGCCAGCAGCUGCGGUUAGACAUGGAGGGCAAGCAUUGAUCAAAAUGGCUUAAAGGAUCUGUAGAACUUAUAAAAAAAUUUAUAUAGAAUAAUAAAGAGAUUAUAAGAAUUAAUAAAGUAAAGAUGAAAUUUAACGAUAAUAUUAAGACUAAAAAGAGAUAAUUAAAUUAUUAUUGACGUUGUGGGAUGAAGGCUACAGUAGCGACAUGGAUUUGAUACCCAUUUAGUUGUAGCAGUAAACGAUGAAUACAAUAAAAAGAAAAGUGAAAAUGAAUAGUAUUCCGCCUGACUAGUAUGCUCGCAAGGGUGAAAUACAAGACAUUAGACGGUUGUAGUUUUAAGCAGUGGAACAUGUCAUUUAAUUGGAUGAUCCUCCAAGAACCUUACCAUAUCUUGAAUUAAUAACAGGCGUUACAUCGUUGUCGUCAGUUCAUGCCGUGAGGUUUAAUAUUAAGUUAUUGAAUGAACGUAACCCUUAUUUAUAAGUAUUAUUGUAAAAUAAUAGGAAGUAGAGGUUGAAGACUAAUCAUGAUGACCCUUAUGAUAUGGGCUAUAGACGUGUUACAAUAUUAUUUACAAUUAUAUUAAUAUACACUAUAUAUUAUUAAUUAUUAAAAAUUAAGAAUUUGAUUUUUUUCUUUUAUGAAUUGUUAACUGAAAUUCGUUAACAUAAAGGAGGAAUUGCUAGUAAUCGUAAACUAGAGUGUUACGGUGAAAUUAUUUGCUACUUCGUACUAACCACUCAUCAACAGUAAGAAAUUUAUUUUAUCUCAAUGAGAAACUAUUUAAAGGACUUACUGUAAGUUGAAAUACGGUUCGGUUAGGGGAACCUGAUCGGGAUUUAUAUAUUUA